CAUGCAAGUCGAGCGGCAGCGGGAAAGUAGCUUGCUACUUUUGCCGGCGAGCGGCGGACGGGUGAGUAAUGCCUGGGAAAUUGCCCAGUCGAGGGGGAUAACACUUGGAAACGACUGCUAAUACCGCAUACCCCCUACGGGGGAAAGCAGGGGACCUUCGGGCCUUGCGCGAUUGGAUAUGCCCAGGUGGGAUUAGCUAGUUGGUGAGGUAAUGGCUCACCAAGGCGACGAUCCCUAGCUGGUCUGAGAGGAUGAUCAGCCACACUGGAACUGAGACACGGUCCAGACUCCUACGGGAGGCAGCAGUGGGGAAUAUUGCACAAUGGGGGAAACCCUGGUGCAGCCAUGCCGCGUGUGUGAAGAAGGCCUUCGGGUUGUAAAGCACUUUCAGCCAGGAGGAAAGGUUGGCGCCUAAUACGUGUCAACUGUGACGUUACU
rnacentral:rRNA from 2 species